AGUUUUGCACAGUGGCAGUAUCGUAGCCAAUGAGGUUUAUCCAAGGCGCGAUUAUUGCUAGUUGAAAACUUUUCCCAAUACCCAGCCAUGAUGACUUGAAAUAUAGUUGACACUGGCAAUUUUUUGACAGUCUCUACGUAGAC
ensembl:snRNA U4 U4 spliceosomal RNA